rnacentral:rRNA from 1 species
UACGAAGGGAGCUAGCGUUGUUCGGAAUUACUGGGCGUAAAGGGCGCGUAGGCGGUUUGACAAGUUGGAUGUGAAAGCCCAGGGCUCAACCCUGGAACUGCAUUCAAAACUGUCUUACUUGAAUUCGGUAGAGGUUGGUGGAAUUCCCAGUGUAGAGGUGAAAUUCGUAGAUAUUGGGAAGAAUAUCCGUGGCGAAGGCGGCCAACUGGACCGACAUUGACGCUGAGGCGCGAAAGCGUGGGGAGCAAACAGG